UACAGAGGUCUCAAGCGUUGUUCGGAUUCAUUGGGCGUAAAGGGUGCGUAGGCGGCGCGGUAAGUCGGGUGUGAAAUCUCGGGGCUUAACUCCGAAACUGCAUUCGAUACUGCCGUGCUUGAGCACUGUAGAGGCAGAUGGAAUUCCGGGUGUAGCGGUGGAAUGCGUAGAGAUCCGGAAGAACACCGGUGGCGAAGGCGGUCUGCUGGGCAGUUGCUGACACUGAGGCGCGACAGCGUGGGGAGCAAACAGG
rnacentral:rRNA from 1 species